rnacentral:rRNA from 1 species
GACGAACGCUGGCGGCGUGCCUAAUACAUGCAAGUAGAACGCUGAAGAGAGGAGCUUGCUCUUCUUGGAUGAGUUGCGAACGGGUGAGUAACGCGUAGGUAACCUGCCUGGUAGCGGGGGAUAACUAUUGGAAACGAUAGCUAAUACCGCAUGAUAUUAAUUGUCGCAUGAUAAUUAAUUGAAAGAUGCAAUUGCAUCACUACCAGAUGGACCUGCGUUGUAUUAGCUAGUUGGUGAGGUAACGGCUCACCAAGGCGACGAUACAUAGCCGACCUGAGAGGGUGAUCGGCCACACUGGGUCUGAGACACGGCCCAGACUCCUACGGGAGGCAGCAGUAGGGAAUCUUCGGCAAUGGGGGGAACCCUGACCGAGCAACGCCGCGUGAGUGAAGAAGGUUUUCGGAUCGUAAAGCUCUGUUGUAAGAGAAGAACGGGUGUGAGAGUGGAAAGUUCACAC